ensembl:lncRNA
GCUAUGGGGCAGCUAUGGGGCGGGUGGGGGUCACGGCCCUAUGGGGCAGCUAUGGGGCAGCUAUGGGGCAGGUGGGGGUCACAGCCCUAUAGGGGCAGCUAUGGGGCAGCUAUGGGGGUCACAGCCCUAUGAGGACAGCUCUAUGGGGCAGAUCUAUGGGGCAGAUCUAUGGGGGCGGCCCUAUGGGGACAGAUGGGGGUCACAGCCCUAUGGGGCAGCUAUGGGGCAAAAUAUGGGUCACAGCCCUAUGGGGCAGCUAUGGGGGUCACAGCCCUAUGGGGACAACCCUAUGGGGGACAGAUGGGGGUCACGGCCCUAUGGGGCAGCUAUGGGGCAAAAUGGGGGUCACAGCUCUAUGGGGCAGCUAUGGGGGUCACAGCCCUAUGGGGACGGCCCUAUGGGGGACAGAUGGGGGUCACAGCCCUAUAGGGCAGCUAUGGUGCAAAAUGGGGGUCACAGCUCUAUGGGGCAGCUAUGGGGCAAAAUGGGGGUCACAGCUCUAUGGGGCAGCUAUGGGGUUCACAGCCCUAUGGGGACAGCCCUAUGGGGGUGGCCCUACGGGGACAGAUGGGGGUCACAGCCCUAUGGGGCAGCUAUGGGGCAGCUAUGGGGGUCCCAGCCCUAUGGGGGCGGCCCUAUGGGGACAGAUGGGGGUCACAGCCCUAUAGGGCAGCUAUGGGGCAAAAUAUGGGUCACAGCCCUAUGGGGACAGCCCUAUGGGGACGGCCCUAUGGGGACAGAUGGGGGUCACAGCCCUAUAGGGCAGCUAUGGGGCAGCUAUGGGGGUCCCAGCCCUAUGGGGGCGGCCCUAUGGGGACAGAUGGGGGUCACAGCCCUAUAGGGCAGCUAUGGGGCAAAAUGGGGGUCACAGCCCUAUAGGGCAGCUAUGGGGCAAAAUGGGGGUCACAGCCCUAUGGGGGCGGCCCUAUGGGGACAGAUGGGGGUCACAGCCCUAUGGGGGUGGCCCUGUGGGGACAGAUGGGGGUCACAGCCCUAUAGGGCAGCUAUGGGGCAAAAUGGGGGUCACAGCCCUAUGGGGGCGGCCCUAUGGGGACAGAUGGGUGUCACAGCCCUAUGAGGACAGCUCUAUGGGGCAGACCUAUGGGGGCGGCCCUAUGGGGACAGAUGGGGGUCCCAGCCCUAUGGGGACGGCCCUAUGGGGCAGCUGUGGGGGUCACAGCCCUAUGGGGACAGCCGUAUGGGGGUGGCCCUAUGGGGACAGAUGGGGGUCCCAUCCCUACGGGGCGCCCCCCACCCCCCCACUCCUGUCCUCCCCCCCCCCCCGCCCCACAUCCCCCAUUGACGCUGAUGGGCCCCGACACUUAUGGGUCGCGGUUACGUCACCCCGUGGGGCGGCGGCGUGGGGCCAAGUAGGGCACCCCCCGGAGCCCCCUUAAAAAUAGCCCAAAGCCCUCAUUAGCAAUUAGGGGGGAUUACCAAUUAGGGGCCCCACGGCGGGGCCGCCCCACGGCGGCUAUGGGGCGCUGCCCCCUAAUCCCCCCCCCCCCCCCACCCCAUAAUCCCGGAUUUUCGGGGUCGCUCCGGGGGAGUCCGAAUUGGGGGCAGCACUCCUAAUCUGCCCGCCGGGAAAAGGGGCGACGGCGGCCGUGGGGCGGAUGUGGGGCGGAUGUGGG